GUCUUUUUAAUUAUAAUAUGAAGUCUGGCCUGCUCACUGAUUAAUUAAAGAGCCGCGGUAUUUUGACCGUGCAAAGGUAGCAUAAUCAUUAGUCUUUUAAUUGAAGGCUGGUAUGAAUGGUUUGACGAGGAAUUAACUGUCUCUUAGUAAUUGAUGGAAUUUAACUUUUGAGUUAGAAGGCUCAAAUGUUUUUUGAGGACGAGAAGACCCUAUAGAGCUUAUAUAUUUAUUGUAAUGUAUUUUUGGAUUGUUUUUUUACAUGCAUUAGUUAUAUUUUGUUGGGGUGACAUAAAGGAUAAUUAAACUCUUUAUUUUGUAAUCAUUAAUUAAUGAUUAAUUGAUCCAUAAUUUAUGAUCAUAAGAUUAAGUUACCUUAGGGAUAACAGCGUAAUUAAUUUUGAGAGUUCAUAUUGACAAAUUAGAUUGCGACCUCGAUGUUGGAUUAAGAUGAAUUCUGGGUGCAGAAGCCCAGUGAUUAGGUCUGUUCGACCUUUAAAUUCUU
rnacentral:rRNA from 1 species